AUUUAUUUUAUUGAAUUUUCACAACCACCUCGAGGUGCUGUGAAAUUUUUCCCUGACUUUAAAGAUGAAGAAACAGGUCCAGAGAGAGGCACAGUGACUUGCACCUUGACAUGCAGCCAGAAAGCAGUGGAGCCAGGAUUCCAGCCAGGUCUGUCUGACCAGCAGCACCGCUCCGGCUACUGCUGGCUGUGCAGUUAGUCCACGAGGAUCUAGGGCUCCUCGGGAAGCCCAUGGGAAGCCUCGCCUUGGUCUAGGAUGGAUGGCACAGGUGAGCCAGGGAAGGUAUCUGACAGGCACCACAACCUGAGCAUGUGUAGAUGGACGCUGGUUUCUUCUGCUCUCUGCCUCAUCUCAGGUCCGGCCCUGCCACCUGUCCAGGGGCUUAGCCCAGAACCCCAGAAUCUGCUUUGAUGCCCCCGGGUCUGCAGGCAGACUUUGCUCUCGAAGGCACCUGAGUCUCACCUCCUUGGCCGUCAGCUUGGCACAAGUUACCCUGGCUGCUCCCCAGACUGUUCCCAUGGCCUGGCCCUGGCCGGGGACUCCCACUCUGCUUGCGGUCCUGAAGACAGCCAGAGAGGCCUUUGAGAGUGGAAGGCAGACACCAUAUGCCACCGCCCCCAGCUGACACUCAUAGGGGCUGCCCCUCAUGCUCUGGAUAAAACUCCGACUGGCUACUGUGCCUCUUUGGGUCUCCCCGGCCCAGGCCUGGCCAGGGGUUCCAGCCUUCACCAGGGGAAGGAGCAUCUGUGAGUCCAGGGAGUGUGCCUGGCCCAAUGCCUCUGCCCAGGGCCUUUGUGCCUGCCGUCCCCUCCCCAAUUCCACGCCUCCUGUUGCCCUCCGCAGAGGCACCUCUCCCGUGACCUCCAAGCACACCACCCACUAAAUCUCCGCCCUUCCUCUGCCUGCCUGCCCUCCCAGCACAGCCACUCUGUCCGCUCAGGCUCCUGAGCUGCUUACUUGUUCACCUGUCUUCUGCUGGAGACCAGGGAGCCCUCCCCUCGCUGGCUGUGGGGUCUGGGAACAAAGCAGUCUUAAUAAAUACUUCUCGAAAGAAUGGAGUAUGUGGUUGAAUAAAUAAGUCCCAGACAGGAGUUCCUUCUAAAAUGGUCUAGUUCAGGCUUCUCAGUUGCAGGUGGGGAAACUGAGGCCCUGAGCGGGCGGAGGUGGAGGGAAGUUGAGUGGCCCUGCCUGCAUCUCCCACCAGCGCUACCUCGCAUCCUCCUACAGCAUGCGAG
rnacentral:lncRNA from 1 species